rnacentral:rRNA from 1 species
GCUACAGGCUUAACACAUGCAAGUCGAGGGGCAGCAUGGUCUUAGCUUGCUAAGGCCGAUGGCGACCGGCGCACGGGUGAGUAACACGUAUCCAACCUGCCGUCUACUCUUGGACAGCCUUCUGAAAGGAAGAUUAAUACAAGAUGGCAUCAUGAGUCCGCAUGUUCACAUGAUUAAAGGUAUUCCGGUAGACGAUGGGGAUGCGUUCCAUUAGAUAGUAGGCGGGGUAACGGCCCACCUAGUCUUCGAUGGAUAGGGGUUCUGAGAGGAAGGUCCCCCACAUUGGAACUGAGACACGGUCCAAACUCCUACGGGAGGCAGCAGUGAGGAAUAUUGGUCAAUGGGCGAGAGCCUGAACCAGCCAAGUAGCGUGAAGGAUGACUGCCCUAUGGGUUGUAAACUUCUUUUAUAAAGGAAUAAAGUCGGGUAUGCAUACCCGUUUGCAUGUACUUUAUGAAUAAGGAUCGGCUAACUCCGUGCCAGCAGCCGCGGUAAUACGGAGGAUCCGAGCGUUAUCCGGAUUUAUUGGGUUUAAAGGGAGCGUAGAUGGAUGUUUAAGUCAGUUGUGAAAGUUUGCGGCUCAACCGUAAAAUUGCAGUUGAUACUGGAUAUCUUGAGUGCAGUUGAGGCAGGCGGAAUUCGUGGUGUAGCGGUGAAAUGCUUAGAUAUCACGAAGAACUCCGAUUGCGAAGGCAGCCUGCUAAGCUGCAACUGACAUUGAGGCUCGAAAGUGUGGGUAUCAAACAGGAUUAGAUACCCUGGUAGUCCACACGGUAAACGAUGAAUACUCGCUGUUUGCGAUAUACGGCAAGGGGCCAAGCGAAAGCGUUAAGUAUUCCACCUGGGGAGUACGCCGGCAACGGUGAAACUCAAAGGAAUUGACGGGGGCCCGCACAAGCGGAGGAACAUGUGGUUUAAUUCGAUGAUACGCGAGGAACCUUACCCGGGCUUAAAUUGCAGAUGAAUUACGGUGAAAGCCGUAAGCCGCAAGGCAUCUGUGAAGGUGCUGCAUGGUUGUCGUCAGCUCGUGCCGUGAGGUGUCGGCUUAAGUGCCAUAACGAGCGCAACCCUUGUUGUCAGUUACUAACAGGUUCCGCUGAGGACUCUGACAAGACUGCCAUCGUAAGAUGUGAGGAAGGUGGGGAUGACGUCAAAUCAGCACGGCCCUUACGUCCGGGACUACACACGUGUUACAAUGGGGGGUACAGAGGGCCGCUACCACGCGAGUGGAUGCCAAUCCCCAAAACCUCUCUCAGUUCGGACUGGAGUCUGCAACCCGACUCCACGAAGCUGGAUUCGCUAGUAAUCGCGCAUCAGCCACGGCGCGGUGAAUACGUCCCCGGGCCUUGUACACACCGCCCGUCAAGCCAUGGGAGCCGGGGGUACCUGAAGUGCGUAACCGCGAGGAGCGCCCUAGGGUAAAACUGGUGACUGGGGCU